UACAUGGGGUGCAAACGUUGCUCGGAAUUAUUGGGCGUAAAGCGCGCGUAGGCGGUUACUCAAGUCGGAUGUGAAAGCCCUCGGCUUAACUGAGGAGGUGCACCCGAAACUGAGUAGCUAGAGUACCAAAGAGGGUCGCGGAAUUCCCGGUGUAGAGGUGAAAUGCGCAGAUAUCGGGAAGAACACCCGUGGCGAAGGCGGUUCUCUGGGACGGUACUGACGCUGAGACGCGAAAGCGUGGGGAGCGAACAGG
rnacentral:rRNA from 1 species